GAGAUUCAAGUCGUGAUCGAGGGAAAAAUAAAGUUUACGAGGAAUAAGCUCGAUUGCUAAUAUUUUAUAUCGAGGUCAGUUCAUAUGAUUUUUAAUAAUGCAAUGUGUAAUUUAAUGUUUUGAAAUGAAAAUUUCAUGAAUGAUAUAGUAUAUUAUUGCAUAUAAAAUGUCAUUAAACUGUGAUAAUUGUAAAAUGAUAUUUGAAUAAAAGUACAAAUUAAAUGGAACAACGGACUUGAGUACUUUCAUUCAGUGGCUAAGACGAAUUGACGGAAAGACCAUGGUUGGACCAUGGCAGCAUGUGAAAUGUGAUUUCCGUAUAAGACCAUAGCUGGGCUAUGGCUUCGGAGAAAUGUGAUAUGUGUUUCCGUAUAAGACCAUAUCCGGGAUAUGGCAUCGGUGUGAUAUGUGCUACUGUAUAAGACCAUAUCUGGGAUAUGGCAUCAGUGUGAUAUGUGAUCCGUGUAAGACCAUGGCUAGGCUAUGGCCUCGGUAUGUGAUAUGUGACUAUGUGCAAGACCAUAGUUUUACUAUGGCAUUGUGAUAAUGAGGUACUCAAUUCCGUAAUCGUUCCCUAAUUUGAUUAUGAACGAAAAUGUAAAAUGGCCCGAAAAGAUUAAGAAUUGGUGAAUACUAUGAAAAUGACACGAUUUGGAAUAAGUUCUUGAUACUUGAUGACAUUGAGAUUAUGGAUCUAUGCUUAUGAAGCAUAAUUAUGUGUUCUUACCAUGAUGGAUGAAAUGAUAUUGUAUGGAUUUAGUGAAUAAUAGUGGUGAAUGAAUAAAUAUGGCCUUGGCAGUUUUGGGUUACUACAGUAGUGUAUAUUUUGAAAUUCACCAUAAAUUGUGGAAAUUGAGUUAAGGGCUGAAUAAAAUAUGAGAUUAAAGCCUGAUGAGUUUAGUUUCAUAUAGAGGAAACGGUGCAUGCAAUUGGAUUUUAUGUUAUAAGAUAUUUAAAUUGUUGUGAGACAGAGUUUGAAUGAUUCGAGAUCCCCUGUUCUGAUUUUAGAAAAUCAUUAGAAAUUGUACAAAAAUAUUUAUGAGUUUUAAUUUAUAUAUUUAAAAUCCUUAUCGAGUCUAUUUUCAAGAGGGAUAGACGGGAACAUCAUCCAAGUCCCGAAUUAUGAGAUAAAUAAUUUUUAGUGAAGAGAGAUCAGAACUGUUGGACAGCGAAACAGGGGAGACUUUAAUGAAUAAACUGUACUAAAUGGCUAAACCAAAAAUUCUGGAAAUUUUAUGGCAGAAAGGUAUAUGAAUCUAGUUUCAAGGAAAAUUAACGGAACUUAAUUUGAAGUUUCGUAGCUCCAGAAAUAAAUUAUUUAGUAAAUGUAUCUCGAUAAAACAGUUUAAGCUGAGUAUGUAUAAUUGUACAAUUGUGGUGUUUUAUCUUAAAAGCAUGUUGGUAAUUGCUUAUUAAUUUCAUAUGGACUUACUAAGCAUUUAUGCUUAGUCCCUCCUUUUCAUUCCUUGUAGUUUUGAUAAGCCAGCUCGGAAAUCGGGAACGGUCGGAGGCCCACUCACACUAUCCGUAUACCAUCUUGGCGUAAUGGCUUGUAUAUUUUGAGUAUGGCACGUAUAGCAUUAUAAUCAUUUUGUAUAUAUGGUCUUAUGAUAUGGAUAUUGAGUGGUAUGGAAAUGUUUGGUAAUGAUUAGCCAUUGGAAUGGCUAAUCAUGAUCAUAUUUGGUGUUAUAUAUGCUAAAUUGCUAGCUAAUCCAUGGAAACCAUGAAAUAGGCAAAAUUUACCAUAAAAUAGAUCCAGACAGCAGCAGUAAUGUGAGUUUGAAAAAUCAUUAAAAAUAGUAGAGAUACAAUUAGAUGAUGAAUAAAAUAUGGAAUUGAA
rnacentral:lncRNA from 1 species